rnacentral:rRNA from 1 species
UACGGAGGAUCCAAGCGUUAUCCGGAUUUAUUGGGUUUAAAGGGUGCGUAGGCGGCCUGUUAAGUCAGGGGUGAAAGACGGUAGCUCAACUAUCGCAGUGCCCUUGAUACUGAUGGGCUUGAAUGUACUAGAGGUAGGCGGAAUGUGACAAGUAGCGGUGAAAUGCGUAGAGAUGUGGAGGAACACCUGUGGCGAAGGCGCCUUGCUGGCCGAUUUCUGACGCUGAGGCGCGAAAGCGUGGGGAGCAAACAGG